UCUGGAAUAAGUGGAAGAUAAGAUAAAAUUCAUAAGAUGCUUCAAAACAGUUUACUAUGUUGAAGAAUAUCGACAAUAAAUUCGACCUUACGUUAAACAUAUCAAUAAAAGUCGUCUAAACAGAAGGAAUGAAGUGAAGACACUGACACAGAAACCACACAAACUGUUAUUGGCUGUUAUGUCAUAUUAAGAGACACAAAGGGAACCGAUUACUCUCUUUUGACUAAUAUUAUUUGGACAGUUAGACUUGUUAUUUCGUGUAAAUGAGACAACAUUUAAUUUUACCAAGGGAAAUUGUGUUAGAUGCUCUUCAAAAAAUAUCUGCCUCUGGCCUUACACGACAUCACUCCAGCUCUGUUUCAGUAUUUCUUCAAUACUUUUCAUCAUUGUACACUUUUUAUAAUACAUCCAUAGAAAUAUACUGUUAUGACAUAUAAAUUGAUUCAUCAGAUUGCUUCAUUAUGGAUCAGAUCUUAACAGAGUCUCGCAGGUUUCUGUAUGAAUCUGGUUAUGGUCAGGUAUCGAACACCACUGAGAUGAACAACAGAGGAAUUAAAUCAGUUAUGUUUUUGAUAAUCAUGGUGCUUUUUCACGUUUUGAUCUCUCCCAAUUUGCUUGCAGUUCUCAAAGACGCUGUAGGGAUGCAAACGACCCCCAAGCCACGUCAGUGUACGAGUACAAUGUAACAUAAUCAUAAUUACCAUACUCUCUCCCCAAAUAUCUUAAAAUAGUCAUUGAAUGUGCAAUUGGAGUCCCAUCCACCUCCAAAACAGGCAAUUGAUUGAAAGGAUACUUUGAAUCAUCUGCAUUAAAUAAAUACCAGAAUUAAAAAGUUAGUAUAAGCGUUA